UACGGAGGGUGCAAACGUUAUCCGGAAUCACUGGGCGUAAAGCGCGUGUAGGUGGUUUCGCAAGUGGGUGAUUAAAGACCGGUGCCUAACACCGGGAAUGUUGUCCAAACUACGGGACUUGAGAAAAGCAGGGGUAAGCGGAACUUUGGGUGGUAGGGGUGGAAAUCCGUAGAUAUCCAAAGGAACACCAAUGGCGAAGGCAGCUUACUGGGCUUUUUCUGACACUGAGACGCGAAAGCGUGGGGAGCGAACGGGA
rnacentral:rRNA from 1 species